GACGAACUGUCCUAACGUUGUUCGGAAUCACUGGGCUUAAAGGGCGCGUAGGCGGUCCGACAAGUCAGGGGUGAAAUCCUGCAGCUUAACUGUAGAAGUGCCUCUGAUACUGGCGAACUCGAGGGAGGUAGGGGUGGGUGGAACUUCUGGUGGAGCGGUGAAAUGCGUUGAUAUCAGAAGGAACGCCGGUGGCGAAAGCGACCCACUGGACCUCUUCUAACGCUGAGGCGCGAAAGCUAGGGGAGCAAGCGGG
rnacentral:rRNA from 1 species